CAGUCGCCGCGGUAAUACGAAGGGGGCUAGCGUUGUUCGGAAUUACUGGGCGUAAAGCGCACGUAGGCGGAUUGUUAAGUCGGGGGUGAAAUCCUGAGGCUCAACCUCAGAACUGCCUUCGAUACUGGCGAUCUUGAGUUCGGAAGAGGUUGGUGGAACAGCUAGUGUAGAGGUGAAAUUCGUAGAUAUUAGCUAGAACACCAGUGGCGGAGGCGGCCAACUGGUCCGACACUGACGCUGAGGUGCGAAAGCGUGGGGAGCAAACAGGAUUAGAUACCCCCGUAGUCCCUGUCUCUUAUAC
rnacentral:rRNA from 1 species